rnacentral:rRNA from 1 species
UACGGAGGGUGCAAGCGUUAUCCGGAUUUACUGGGUUUAAAGGGUGUGUAGGCGGGCUUUUAAGUCAGUGGUGAAAUCUCCGGGCUCAACCCGGAAACUGCCAUUGAUACUAUUAGUCUUGAAUUUUGUUGAGGUAGGCGGAAUAAGUCAUGUAGCGGUGAAAUGCUUAGAUAUGACUUAGAACACCAAUUGCGAAGGCAGCUUGCUAAACAAACAUUGACGCUGAGUACGAGACGUGGGGAGCAAACAGG